rnacentral:rRNA from 1 species
GACGACCGCUGGCGGCGUGCUUAACACAUGCAAGUCGAACGGAAAGGCCCUGCUUUUGUGGGGUGCUCGAGUGGCGAACGGGUGAGUAACACGUGAGUAACCUGCCCUUGACUUUGGGAUAACUUCAGGAAACUGGGGCUAAUACCGGAUAGGAGCUCCUGCUGCAUGGUGGGGGUUGGAAAGUUUCGGCGGUUGGGGAUGGACUCGCGGCUUAUCAGCUUGUUGGUGGGGUAGUGGCUUACCAAGGCUUUGACGGGUAGCCGGCCUGAGAGGGUGACCGGCCACAUUGGGACUGAGAUACGGCCCAGACUCGUACGGGAGGCAGCAGUGGGGAAUAUUGCACAAUGGGCGGAAGCCUGAUGCAGCAACGCCGCGUGCGGGAUGACGGCCUUCGGGUUGUAAACCGCUUUCGCCUGUGACGAAGCGUGAGUGACGGUAAUGGGUAAAGAAGCACCGGCUAACUACGUG